rnacentral:tRNA from 1 species
GGUCGUGUGGCCCAAUGGCAAGGCGCUUGACUACGAAUCCAGAGAUUCCAGGUUCGAGUACGACGCCCUCACAAUCU